AGUCGAACGGCAGCGGGGACUUCGGUCCGCCGGCGAGUGGCGAACGGGUGAGUAAUAUAUCGGAACGUACCUUUCAGUGGGGGAUAACGUAGCGAAAGUUACGCUAAUACCGCAUAUUCUGUGAGCAGGAAAGCAGGGGAUCGCAAGACCUUGCGCUGAUUGAGCGGCCGAUAUCAGAUUAGCUAGUUGGUGAGGUAAAGGCUCACCAAGGCGACGAUCUGUAGCGGGUCUGAGAGGAUGAUCCGCCACACUGGAACUGAGACACGGUCCAGACUCCUACGGGAGGCAGCAGUGGGGAAUUUUGGACAAUGGGCGCAAGCCUGAUCCAGCCAUGCCGCGUGAGUGAAGAAGGCCUUCGGGUUGUAAAGCUCUUUCGGCCGGGAAGAAAUCGCAUGGGUUAAUACCCUGUGCGGAUGACGGUACCGGCAUAAGAAGCACCGGCUAACUACGUGCCAGCAGCCGCGGUAAUACGUAGGGUGCGAGCGUUAAUCGGAAUUACUGGGCGUAAAGCGUGCGCAGGCGGUUUUGUAAGACAGGCGUGAAAUCCCCGGGCUCAACCUGGGAACUGCGCUUGUGACUGCAAGGCUAGAGUACGGCAGAGGGGGGUGGAAUUCCACGUGUAGCAGUGAAAUGCGUAGAGAUGUGGAGGAACACCAAUGGCGAAGGCAGCCCCCUGGGUCGAUACUGACGCUCAUGCACGAAAGCGUGGGUAGCAAACAGGAUUAGAUACCCUGGUAGUCCACGCCCUAAACGAUGUCAACUAGGUGUUGGGUGGGUAAAACCAUUUAGUACCGGAGCUAACGCGUGAAG
rnacentral:rRNA from 1 species